AAGUGGGUUCAAAGAGAAUGGAAGAGAAAGAAGAUGGUGAAGAGAGAGAAGACGGUGUUGGAAGAGUUACCUUGGAAGCUUCUAGAACAACCAUUGAAGAAAGAGUUGAAAGAAAAAGAGUUGAUUUAGGAUUGGAACUUGUUGUUGGAAGAAGAUGAAGAGAGAGAGAGAGAGAGGAACAUGAAACAAAGUCACAAAGGUUGUCUCUGAUUGGGACUCUGUAGAUUUUCACUUUCACUAAAAAUUUUAGUUUAAAUAUUUUCAGCAAAAUAAAC
rnacentral:lncRNA from 1 species